UCUGUGCUCUGGCCUCUUGGGCAAGCUGCCUUCUCACUGGGCCGGUGAUGGAGGCGAAGGCCUGAGGCCUGUGUGUCUGUGGACUUGAAGGGUGCAGUUGAAGGAAAACGCCAGGUGUUGGAGUGGCUGGGUGCAGAGAGAGCCUGGAGAGGAGGAGAAAAAAAAACCUCUUGGGAAAAAAGUCUAAGGUUCAUUUCGACCUCAAGUCCCUGAGACUAGAGGGAUAGGGAGGCAGCAGGAGGGGGAGGGAAGGGGGAGCCCCAGGUCGAGCCAGCAGGCACCCAGGGAUUUACAGCGACGUGAUGGUUGGAGGCUGAAAAGAGAAGAGACACAAUUAUUAAUAAUCAAAGAGCUGCUGCUGCUGGAGCAGAGAUGAAAGGCUUUCCAAGCCAGUCGGUGAUGAUGCGCCUGGAGCUCUCCCCUGGGCAGCCACCUGCGUCUGGGCUGCAGGAACCUGAGAGGUUAAACCUUCAUUCCUGAGCGCCGCCUUCCAGAAACUUCUACAGACGCCCCACGGUUCCUGGAAGACGUUGAGAGGAAAGCAAAGCGUCCGGCGGCCCCACCCGAACGUUCCAGAAACAGAGAUGGCGUUUGCCCCAGACCCGGAGGGGGGUUGGGAAGGGCAAAGUAGCCAAGGGGCUUGCACGGUGGCAGCUAACGGCUUUCCUGGCGGGACACCCAGCCCUGGGGCUGGUCUAGCACAGGAAUUCUGCUCGUCCUCUCCUGAACUGUGGCAGGCCACCAGGCUCCUCUGUCUGUGGCGAUGCUCCAGGCAAGAAUACUGGAGUGGGU